rnacentral:rRNA from 1 species
CCAGUUGGAAACGACUGUUAAUACCGCAUAAUGUCUACGGACCAAAGUGUGGGACCUUCGGGCCACAUGCUAUCGGAUGCGCCUACGUGGGAUUAGCUAGUUGGUGAGGUAAUGGCUCACCAAGGCGACGAUCUCUAGCUGGUUUGAGAGGAUGAUCAGCCACACUGGAACUGAGACACGGUCCAGACUCCUACGGGAGGCAGCAGUGGGGAAUAUUGGACAAUGGGCGCAAGCCUGAUCCAGCCAUGCCGCGUGUGUGAAGAAGGCCUUCGGGUUGUAAAGCACUUUCAGCGAGGAGGAAGGGUGGUGUGUUAAUAGCACAUYAUUUUGACGUUACUCGCAGAAGAAGCACCGGCUAACUCUGUGCCAGCAGCCGCGGUAAUACAGAGGGUGCAAGCGUUAAUCGGAAUUACUGGGCGUAAAGCGCACGUAGGCGGUUUUUUAAGUCA